GGCGGCGUGCUUAACACAUGCAAGUGGUGCGACGAACCAGGGCUUGCCCUGGGGCUAAGCCGCGAACGGGUGAGUAACACGUGAGUAAUCUGCCCCGAUGACCGGGACAACCCGAGGAAACUCGGGCUAAUACCGGAUGUGGUGCACGGGUAUAAGCCUGUGUACUAAAGGAAGCUUCGGCCUCCGCAUUGGGAGGAGCUCGCGGCCCAUUAGCUUGUUGGUGGGGUAACGGCCUACCAAGGCAACGAUGGGUAGCUGGUCUGAGAGGACGAUCAGCCACACUGGGACUGAGACACGGCCCAGACUCCUACGGGAGGCAGCAGUGGGGAAUCUUGCGCAAUGCGCGAAAGCGUGACGCAGCGACGCCGCGUGGGGGAAGAAGGCUUUCGGGUUGUAAACCCCUUUCAGGAAGGACGAAGCUACUCGGGUUAAUAGCCCAGAGGGUGACGGUACUUCCAGAAGAAGCCCCGGCUAACUACGU
rnacentral:rRNA from 1 species